ensembl:lncRNA
GUGAAUUGUUUUGGUAACAGUAUUAACCACCCACCCACCAGUGAGCAGGUCCCACCUCUGAUGCAGGUCAAGAAAGUGUCUUCAUUGUUUGUCCUGACCUAGAAGCUUCUCUCUCUCUAAUUUCAGAGUCCUUAGCCCUGUUCCCAAGACUUCAAUGACCAAACUGCCAAAGGGCCAAGGAGUAUCUUGUAGCUUUGCCCGGGGGUAGGAGGAGUGCCCCCACAUGGUGUCACAACAGUGCCUGAGUGACUUGGGCAGAAUCCAGGGACCAAGGAGUCUGUUUCCACAGCACAGCUUCUCCUUUUCUAGAAGAACAGCAGGAACCUUUCCAGUCAUAGCCAGGAGGCAAUCAGAGCUAACAGUGUCCUGGGGCAACCAGGAGGCAGUGCCAGAUGCCUGGAACCCAGAGGAGUGUCAGCUUCUACUGAAAAGGAACUGUACCAUCUUCACUAUUGACUUUUAUGAGACUGGCAGACAGGAGCAGCAAUGGCCUUGCAGAUGGAGAUCCAAGCCCCAGUGGGAUGCGGAAGCUGAGCUGCCAUGGAUGCUCUGACCACAGGUUCAUCAUCUCUGGACCAGAAGCUUACACGAGUCCAGGGGUAUGCUUCCUAAGGCUCAUUUCCGUGUGGAAACAGGUAUAGGAAGAGAACAUUCCUGACUAAAGUGGCUCACUCAUACAGAGAGUCUGGUCUGAGUGCUUAUGCCAAUUACCUUCUGUCUGCAUAGCUUCCUGCUUGCCAAAGGAUAAUAAGGCCCAUCAGGGCUUCUAAAUUCUAAUUUGCAAGGACUUAAAAAACAGGACUCCUGUGCAAAUACACAGUGAGUGUGAAAGCAUUUGCUCGGCUCCUGCAUUGACGAGUCAGCCACUCAGAGGCUGUAAAUGGACUAGUGCUGUGAGUGACUUGAAGAAGGAUAUUUAUAUGGGAGCCUGAAGCUCUUGUUUUGCUUUUCGAUGAAAAGCUUGUCAACUUUCAACUGAUGAGGAGGAGCACAAAUUGGGAAGUCUUUGAAGGAAGGAGAAACACAGGUUGAGUUCCUGGCUGCCCGUUGAGUGGAUCAGGACAGUUAGCAGCUUUUGAACUGAGUGAUGGCCUUGAGACUCUCUUCUCACUUACUUGUAACCUCUUCUGUGCCAAGUGAAGUGUGGUGAUGGGCAGAAUGCUCUCACACUGUAUAACUCGGGUUUACUGAUGCUACCACCGCCUUUGCCGGAUGUUAAAGGUAUAUUAAUUGAUUAUUAACGAUGAAUUCCCCCGUUUGUUUUAGUUCGAUUACUAUCACCUGAGAUAAGAACGGUCUCUAAGGAUCAAGGGUUUACUUGAAGUAGUUACUCACUGGAGGGUAGGCUCCCAGCACAAAGCACAACUGUACCCCACAGGGCUCCCAUGGAACCACUGGCUAAGUUUCCUAACCUCUCCGCAGCUUUAAGUACAGACCCAGCAGUCUUUAUUUUGCUUUGCCUAGCUCUUCCUUCCUUCCUUCCUUUACCUUGGCCCUUGAGUUAGGGUUUGGCCUGGUGGAUCAGACACAGAUCACACCUGAAGUACAAGACGAAUGUUCUAUUGCCUUUUGGUGAUUAAACCAGUCAUGUUAUUGUUGGCAGCCUAGCCCAGAGGUAAGGCAGAGAAAAGCAAGAGGAACAGGAAAUCAUUCUGUAAAAUAUUUACAGGAAAACGUUGGCUUGCUUGAAGUGAUUCACUGGCCUGCUUUCCCUCUGUCUUUUUGCCUUCUCUAAUAACUUCCCUCUCGCUGGCUCCCUGUUACACAAGUUUUAGUCUUAAAAGGAGUACUGGGAAGUAAAAUUUUCUUAAUCUGAAGAUAUGAUGCCAUGUUUUGAGUCACACACACACAAAAAACCCCACCAUUUUAAUUAUUAGAAAUAUUCGGUUUUGCUACAAUCAGUCACACGUGUCCCCAACAGCUCCACUCUGUUCCAGCACUAUGCCUUCCAGCUCCAUCUCAUCUGAGGAGCCUGGAUUCUAUGGUCCUGUCCCACAGCUGCUUUGAAAUCUAGAUGAGCAGGUAGUUCUUUAUCCCUAGGGCGGGCUCAAAAUAGUUGAUCCAGGCACUUCAGAAUGUGUGUCCUUCUUAAAUCCCAAGUAAGUGGAAAAAAAAAAAAAAGCCCGCUCCAGAGUACACAGAGCAAAGGACUCCAGGCUGAGCUACUACAGCUGUGCUAGCCCCCUUUGUCAGCUUCACCAUGGAGACCACUAGCCUUCUUUGAAGACCCUUAGAGCAGCAGUGCCUAGGGAAUGUAUAGAGUGACAUUGUUCCUUUCAGAACACCCUCACUCAUGGUAGAAAUGGGCAGGUUAACCAGGAUGAUUAUUCACAAGUAUGUUUUUAGUUUUAGUGAUUGCAAUAUUUAAAACCAAGGAGAGGACUAUUGAAUAGUGAUUUUUUAUAAAUGUGUUCUGGAAAAACUAUAUAAUACUUUCUUGCUUUUGUAGUUCAUGCUGACCUUGAGUAGCCUUGUCUUCUUGGUGCUUACACUUAUGGACAUAUACCACUGUGUCUGCAUGCUGCCUCCUCUCUUCGUAUGGUACUAGAACCUGAGCUUCACACGUCAAGCACAUGUUGUUCUAUUGAGUUAUCAUACCCCCCCAUCACCCAGUGCUUCAUUUAUAAAACCAUAUGACCCUUAUUACAUUUUAAAACUUUAAAUUAUGUGGAUCGGUGUGUAUGUGUACCUGAGUGCAGUUACCAGAGGAGACCAGAAGGUGGCGAUAUAGGAGACCUAGAGCUGGGGUUACAAGCUGUUGUGAGGCACCUACAUGCUACUGAGAACUAAAUUUGUGUCCUCUGCAAGAGCAGUAGGAAAUUGUAACUGCUGAGCUGUCUCUUUGGCUUAAGGCUACCCAGGAUAUAUCUUACUGUUGGGUUUUGUGCUUAUUCAUUUGUUCAUGUUAAACAUAGGAAAUGGUUCAGGCAAAAUAGGGGUUAGGAAAGAAUAUGAAAAUUUAAGGAACAGUUGAAGCAUUGUGUCCUAAGCAAUAUGAAGGUAGAUGGGCAGUAGCCACUUCCUCUGGUUUGAACCAGCCCUUCCUGCAAGGAGUAGGGACGUUGGUAAGAUUCAGAAAUCCAAAGAACAGGACGCUCAGCAAAGCUCAGAAAGUUGAAAGACUCACAAGGCCCCAGGGUAGCAUUACACAAUUGCUCCAGUCUUCCGUGGAGCAGCUUGCAAGCUGUGUAUCGAGCUCCAGCAACCAGCCUUUUGUUUUUGUUUUUUCCAGACAACAGGGCUUCUCUGUGUAGUUCUGGCUAUCCCUAAACUCAUUCUGUAGACCAGGCUGGCCUCAAACUUUUGCCUCUGCCUCCCAAGUGCUGGGACUAAAGGCUUGCACCACCACCUAGCUACAAUGUAGCUCUUUCAUGAACUUUCACCCCUGGCGGGAUAGACUUUUCCAUUGAUGUAGCCACCUUUGUGUUAAUGGUACUCUUGGAAGGAGCCCCUUACUCACAUUCCUAUACAUAAUUCCCCAAAACUAUUAGUUCGCCAAGUUAGAAGUUGUGUAGGUCACUUGCUGUAUUACUGACUCAUUAAAUGGAAAUGGCGCACAAAAAAAAAUGCAUCUGUGGUUUAGUGUCAAUGGAUGCACUGAAUAGCCAUUUGCUCUCUCCCCAGGGGGGGGAAAAAUCACACAACAAUGGACAUCCAUUUCAAUUCAAUAUGGCAC